CGGUCCGUAGCUCAACAGUAGAGCCACCGGCUUUUACCCGGAGGGUUGUGGGUGCAAGUCCUACCGGGCCGA
rnacentral:tRNA from 1 species